rnacentral:rRNA from 1 species
GACGAACGCUGGCGGCGUGCUUAACACAUGCAAGUCGAACGGAAAGGCCCUGCUUUUGUGGGGUGCUCGAGUGGCGAACGGGUGAGUAACACGUGAGUAACCUGCCCUUGACUUUGGGAUAACUUCAGGAAACUGGGGCUAAUACCGGAUAGGAGCUCCUGCUGCAUGGUGGGGGUUGGAAAGUUUCGGCGGUUGUGGAUGGACUCGCGGCUUAUCAGCUUGUUGGUGGGGUAGUGGCUUACCAAGGCUUUGACGGGUAGCCGGCCUGAGAGGGUGACCGGCCACAUUGGGACUGAGAUACGGCCCAGACUCCUACGGGAGGCAGCAGUGGGGAAUAUUGCACAAUGGGCGGAAGCCUGAUGCAGCAACGCCGCGUGCGGGAUGACGGCCUUCGGGUUGUAAACCGCUUUCGCCUGUGACGAAGCGUGAGUGACGGUAAUGGGUAAAGAAGCACCGGCUAACUACGU